rnacentral:rRNA from 1 species
UGGGGAAUAUUGCGCAAUGGGCGAAAGCCUGACGCAGCAACGCCGCGUGAGUGAUGAAGGCCUUCGGGUCGUAAAGCUCUGUCGGAGGGAACGAAUGCUCCUGAAGUUAACAGCCUCAGGAGGUGACGGUACCCUCAAAGGAAGCACCGGCUAACUCUGUGCCAGCAGCCGCGGUAAUACGUAGGGUGCGAGCGUUAAUCGGAAUUACUGGGCGUAAAGCGCACGUAGGCGGAUUGUUAAGUCAGAGGUGAAAUCCCGGAGCUCAACUUCGGAACUGCCUUUGAUACUGGCAAUCUAGAGUCCGGAAGAGGUUAGUGGAAUUCCCAGUGUAGAGGUGAAAUUCGUAGAUAUUGGGAAGAACACCAGUGGCGAAGGCGGCUAACUGGCCCGGUACUGACGCUGAGGUGCGAAAGCGUGGGGAGCAAACAGGAUUAGAUACCCCAGUAGUCCCUGAGCGGGCUGGCAAGGCGCAU